UACGUAGGGUGCAAGCGUUGUCCGGAAUUAUUGGGCGUAAAGAGCUCGUAGGCGGUUUGUCGCGUCUGCUGUGAAAACGCGAGGCUCAACCUCGCGCCUGCAGUGGGUACGGGCAGACUAGAGUGCAGUAGGGGAGAUUGGAAUUCCUGGUGUAGCGGUGGAAUGCGCAGAUAUCAGGAGGAACACCGAUGGCGAAGGCAGAUCUCUGGGCCGUUACUGACGCUGAGGAGCGAAAGCGUGGGGAGCGAACAGG
rnacentral:rRNA from 1 species